rnacentral:rRNA from 1 species
CCCUUAGAUGUUCUGGACUGCACGCGCGCUACACUGAUGCACUCAACGAGUUUACGACCCUGCCCGAUAGGGUUGGGUAAUCUUUUUAAAAUGCAUCGUGAUGGGGAUAGAUUAUUGCAAUUAUUAAUCUUCAACGAGGAAUUCCUAGUAAGCGCGAGUCAUCAGCUCGUGCUGAUUACGUCCCUGCCCUUUGUACACACCGCCCGUCGCUCCUACCGAUUGAGUGCUCAGGUGAAUAAUUCGGACUGCAGCAAUGUUUGGAUCCCGAACGUUGCAGCGGAAAGUUUAGUGAACCUUAUCACUUAGAGGAAGGAGAAGUCGUAACA